rnacentral:miRNA from 1 species
GAGUUCCCACUGUGCUCCGCAGGCUUCAGGUUCCUUUUGCUGAAGCCGGGAGAGCAAGACUCUCCUGGCUUCAGCAAAAGGAACCUGAAGCCUGCGGAGCACAGUGGGAACUC